rnacentral:rRNA from 1 species
UAACCUGCUAACUAGUCCACGGGUCCUCACGAAACGUGUGACUUCUUAGAGGGACUAUCGGCGAUUAGCCGAUGGAAGUUUGAGGCAAUAACAGGUCUGUGAUGCCCUUAGAUGUCCUGGGCCGCACGCGCGCUACACUGACCAAGUCAACGAGUAACACCUUGGUUGAGAUACCUGGGUAAUCUUUUGAAACUUGGUCGUGCUGGGGAUAGUCCAUUGCAAUUGUUGGACUUCAACGAGGAAUUCCUAGUAAGCGCAAGUCAUCAGCUUGCGUUGAUUACGUCCCUGCCCUUUGUACACACCGCCCGUCGCU